rnacentral:rRNA from 1 species
UGGGGAAUAUUGGACAAUGGGCGCAAGCCUGAUCCAGCCAUGCCGCGUGAGUGAUGAAGGCCCUAGGGUUGUAAAGCUCUUUCACCGGUGAAGAUAAUGACGGUAACCGGAGAAGAAGCCCCGGCUAACUUCGUGCCAGCAGCCGCGGUAAUACGAAGGGGGCUAGCGUUGUUCGGAUUUACUGGGCGUAAAGCGCACGUAGGCGGACUUUUAAGUCAGGGGUGAAAUCCCGGGGCUCAACCCCGGAACUGCCUUUGAUACUGGAAGUCUUGAGUAUGGUAGAGGUGAGUGGAAUUCCGAGUGUAGAGGUGAAAUUCGUAGAUAUUCGGAGGAACACCAGUGGCGAAGGCGGCUCGCUGGACCAUUACUGACGCUGAGGUGCGAAAGCGUGGGGAGCAAACAGG